UACAGAGGUCUCAAGCGUUGUUCGGAUUCAUUGGGCGUAAAGGGUGCGUAGGCGGCGCGGUAAGUCGGGUGUGAAAUCUCGGAGCUUAACUCCGAAACUGCAUUCGAUACUGCCGUGCUUGAGGACUGGAGAGGAGACUGGAAUUUUACGGUGUAGCGGUGAAAAUGCGUAGAUAUCGUAAGGAAGACCAGUGGCGAAGGCGGGUCUCUGGACAGU
rnacentral:rRNA from 1 species